rnacentral:rRNA from 1 species
GAUGAACGCUGGCGGCGUGCCUAGUACAUGCAAGUCGAGCGAACGGACGAGAAGCUUGCUUCUCUGAUGUUAGCGGCGGACGGGUGAGUAACACGUGGAUAACCUACCUAUAAGACUGGGAUAACUUCGGGAAACCGGAGCUAAUACCGGAUAAUAUUUUGAACCGCAUGGUUCAAAAGUGAAAGACGGUCUUGCUGUCACUUAUAGAUGGAUCCGCGCUGCAUUAGCUAGUUGGUAAGGUAACGGCUUACCAAGGCAACGAUGCAUAGCCGACCUGAGAGGGGGAUCGGCCACACUGGAACGGAGACACGGUCCAGACUCCUACGGGAGGCAGCAGUAGGGAAUCUUCCGCAAUGGGCGAAAGCCUGACGGAGCAACGCCGCGUGAGUGAUGAAGGUCUUCGGAUCGUAAAACUCUGUUAUUAGGGAAGAACAUAUGUGUAAGUAACUGUGCACAUCUUGACGGUACCUAAUCAGAAAGCCACGGCUAACUACGUG